UCUUCUCUUGCUCUCUCUCUCUCUCUGGAAUACAUAGCUGAACAUUCCGGUCAUCUAACUUGACCAUCGGAGAGCCGUUUCCUGGAAACAGCUCCGGCGACCGGACUUACUGUCGUCUGUGUGCAGUUACUAAAGGUGAUCGUCAAGCUUGGUGCACCCCUACAGAAGCUAAAAGGAAGGACAUCUCGUUGGUGUCUACUUUCGAUUUCCGCAUUGUAAACUCACUCCCACAAUUUUCAUUAUUCCUAGUCUUCUAUUAAGAGCAACAAAAAUCCCAACUGCAAUUAAUAUAACACCCAAAGCAGAAACAACGACUAUGACUAAAAGCACAACUUGGUUGCUACUUCUCUUUCUACCCCCAUUGCUGGUUAUCAGCGAGCAUGGCAUCAAACCUGUUUGAUUGCCACAUAAUCCAUUGUUAUCUCUGUAUGCCUCAAAUGGGGCCUCUUGAAAAGCUUUUGGUGUCAGGUAGAGAACCCUUCAAGAAGUUGGAAGCUAUGUCAACAGCGGCCAAACUCGAAAAUCCCAUUGAAAGAGGAUGGAAUGAAACCGAAUAGUAUAUUGUGGGAUAGAUUUAGUUUCUCUUAGCUUUGGAAAUCCCCAAUCUGUUUGUGGUAUCUCACCUGUUGAUGAAUUGUUUCCAAGAUGAAGAUUUUGAAGAAAGAGUAAUUUGCUUAUUUCAAAAGAAAAUCCUUCUUGGAAUUGAUUUCUACUCAAAUUAAAGUAUAGUAGUUUCACACAAUGCCCCAGUUUUCUUAGAAUUGGGUUGUUUAGAUUGUUUCCCGCCUAGUUAAGAAGUUGCAGAUUAGAUAGGUUGACAAUUUCUGUUGGAAUUUUGCCUGAAAGUUUGUUAUAGCUAAGAGUAAGAUCGAACAGCGCAUCCAACUUACCUGACUACUUUGGGAUUUCCCCAACUACAUGAUUUGAGGAGAGGGCAAGUACUUGUAAUUGAGUUAGCCCUCCAAGGUCAGGCAAUAUUUUUCUAGAAAUUUUAUUGUUUGAGAUCUUUAGGCCAGUCAAGUUACGGGACUGCCCACAUUUUUGAGAAAGUUCACCAUAGAAAUUAUUGUGACUCGCAUCGAUAUGGUAUAACUUUGGGAGUACAUCAAAAACUUCUGAUAUAUUCCCUUUGAGCUGAUUUUCAGCAAGCCUAACAAGCGUAAGUUACUGCAAUUUCUCAAUGAUUUGAUUAUUCAAAUGUAAUUGUGCAUCAAUUGAAUUGCUUUUAAACAUUAUUGCCGUGCAUUCACCACAAGCUUUAAUACAAUGUAAACCUAUCUUGAUUAAAAGAUCAAAAGAGAUUUUUAAAUUCGGAUUUUAUUUCAUUUGUUACUUACUUUUCAUUUGUUACUUACAGCCUUGAGGGAGAAACUUUGAAGAAUGUGUCUUCUUCUUCAGUCCUUAAUACUCAUACAUAUUGUUGUUGAAGGUUGCACAGUUCUAGGACUGAUCUCUGUGGUUGCUAUAGUGAGUGUAAACUAUAGACAAGUGUAUCUUGGGGUUUGCAUCGAAUGUAAGGAGACGUGAAGAUCUUGGCGUGUGGACUAUUGCUGAUAAAGUUUGGUUGAGGAAUACUUGGAAGACAAAGGAACGUACUUGGAAGAUCUAUUUACUUCUCUUAGGGUUUUAAGUUGGUGGAAUAUUCGGCUUGUGGGAUCUUGUGUAAAUAAUUCAACCUUUAUUACUGGAUUUUCUUCGUAUGUGGUUUUUUCCCUGAGCUAGGGUCUUCGACAUACAAGUGGUGUACUUGUGGCUGAUAUUGUUGCUUACACUUAUUCCGCAUAACUGUUACGUUGGGAUGCUAAGAUUUCACUUGGUUUAACUAAGAAUAAUCUGGGGCUAUUAUGCGUAAAUCUGAGUGGUUGACACAGAUUUCCAUAUUUGCAAGGAUGUCCGCACACUGGUUCCCUUCCCUCGACACUUCCCUAUUUAAUGCCAUCCUUGAUCGGAUGAUUAGACAUGUCUUGGAAACUUGUAGUUGAAUCACUCAUUUUUCAGCGUAAACCCAUUCUUCGAGCAGCUCUCUAUCACAAUCUUUUAGAAACGUUUCUUCAAGGCAAUGUUUAGGCCUCUGUAUAUAGCCCAUAUCUCUGCCUCGAGACAAGAACAGUUCUCCAAUCUUCUGUAGUAGCCGCAAAUCCAUGCCCCGCUUUUGUCCCUAAAGAUACCAUCACAAUCCUGCCGACAUCUCGUUAAGCACAACCAUCCAUACUCGAGACGAGUUGGCCAAGAAUUUAAUUUGGUGCCCCAACACUGCAUUAAUAUCCCAUUAUGCCCCCCAAUUCUUUUCUCCUCCCUCCAACUGCCCCCCCUUUUUUUUUCAGUUUUGUGUUUUGUUUUGUUUUUGUUUUGUUUCUUCUUUUUUUCAUUAUUUUUAAUCAAUUUUGUUUAUUUUUUUAAUCAAAUUUAUUUAUUUUUUUAUCAGUUUUAUUUUCUUUUUGGAUAAACAGUUUUUUUUAUUAUAUGUUUGUAAUCUUUUAUUUAUUUUUUAGUUGUAGAU
rnacentral:lncRNA from 1 species